GCUUAGAGUUUGAUCCUGGCUCAGAUUGAACGCUGGCGGCAGGCUUAACACAUGCAAGUCGAGCGGAGAUGAGGUGCUUGCACCUUAUCUUAGCGGCGGACGGGUGAGUAAUGCUUAGGAAUCUGCCAUUUAGUGGGGGACAACAUUCCGAAAGGAAUGCUAAUACCGCAUACGUCCUACGGGAGAAAGCAGGGGAUCUUCGGACCUUGCGCUAAAUGAUGAGCCUAAGUCGGAUUAGCUAGUUGGUGGGGUAAAGGCCUACCAAGGCGACGAUCUGUAGCGGGUCUGAGAGGAUGAUCCGCCACACUGGGACUGAGACACGGCCCAGACUCCUACGGGAGGCAGCAGUGGGGAAUAUUGGACAAUGGGCGGAAGCCUGAUCCAGCCAUGCCGCGUGUGUGAAGAAGGCCUUUUGGUUGUAAAGCACUUUAAGCGAGGAGGAGGCUACUAGUACUAAUACUACUGGAUAGUGGACGUUACUCGCAGAAUAAGCACCGGCUAACUCUGUGCCAGCAGCCGCGGUAAUACAGAGGGUGCGAGCGUUAAUCGGAUUUACUGGGCGUAAAGCGUGCGUAGGCGGCUUUUUAAGUCGGAUGUGAAAUCCCCGAGCUUAACUUGGGAAUUGCAUUCGAUACUGGGAAGCUAGAGUAUGGGAGAGGAUGGUAGAAUUCCAGGUGUAGCGGUGAAAUGCGUAGAGAUCUGGAGGAAUACCGAUGGCGAAGGCAGCCAUCUGGCCUAAUACUGACGCUGAGGUACGAAAGCAUGGGGAGCAAACAGGAUUAGAUACCCUGGUAGUCCAUGCCGUAAACGAUGUCUACUAGCCGUUGGGGCCUUUGAGGCUUUAGUGGCGCAGCUAACGCGAUAAGUAGACGGCCUGGGGAGUACGGUCGCAAGACUAAAACUCAAAUGAAUUGACGGGGGCCCG
rnacentral:rRNA from 1 species